AAACCUCACCCAGCCUGGACACAGACAGGAUUGACAGAUUGAGAGCUCUUUCACAGUUCCAUGGGUGGUGGUACCUGGCCAUUCUUGGUGAAGUAAUUUGUCUGGUUAAUUCCAAUAAAAAACAAGACUCUGGCAUUCUAACUAGUUAUAAGACCUCCCAAUGGUUGAUGUCCAACUUUUUCAAGGGACAAGUGGCAUUCAACAACAUGAGAUAGAGCAGCAACAAGUCUGUGAUGCCCUUUACUGUG
rnacentral:ncRNA from 1 species